GUGGGGAAUCUUCCACAAUGGACGAAAGUCUGAUGGAGCAACGCCGCGUGAGUGAAGAAGGGUUUCGGCUCGUAAAGCUCUGUUGUCGGGGACGAAUGUGCAGUAUUUGAAUAAAGUAGUGCAAUGACGGUACCUGACGAGGAAGCCACGGCUAACUACGUGCCAGCAGCCGCGGUAAUACGUAGGUGGCAAGCGUUGUCCGGAAUUAUUUGGCGUAAAGGGAGCGCAGGCGGGAAGGUAAGUCGGUCUUAAAAGUGCGGGGCACAACCCCGUGAUGGGAUCGAAACUAUCUUUCUUGAGUGCAGGAGAGGAAAGUGGAAUUCCUAGUGUAGCGGUGAAAUGCGUAGAUAUUAGGAGGAACACCAGUGGCGAAGGCGACUUUCUGGACUGUAACUGACGCUGAGGCUCGAAAGCCAGGGGAGCGAACGGGAUUAGAAACCCUAGUAGUCC
rnacentral:rRNA from 1 species